GACGAACGCUGGCGGCGUGCUUAACACAUGCAAGUCGAACGGAAAGGCCCUGCUUUUGUGGGGUGCUCGAGUGGCGAACGGGUGAGUAACACGUGAGUAACCUGCCCUUGACUUUGGGAUAACUUCAGGAAACUGGGGCUAAAAUCGGAUAUGAUCUCCUGCUGCACGGUGGGGGUUGGAAAGAUUCGGCGGUUGUGGAUGGACUCGCGGCUUAUCAGCUUGUUUGUGGGGUAGUGGCUUACCAAGGCUUUGACGGGUAGCCGGCCUGGGAGGGGUACCGGCCACAAUGGGACUGAGAUACGGCCCAGAAUCCUACGGGCGGCAGCAGUCGGAAAUAUUGCACAAUGGGCGGAAGCCUGAUGCAGCAACGCCGCGUGCGGGAUGACGGCCUUCGAGUUGUAAACCGCUUUCGACUGUGCCGAAGCGUGAGUGACGGUAAUGGGUAAAGAAGCACCGGCUAACUACGUG
rnacentral:rRNA from 1 species